GAGAGCAUGGCCCGUGGACAACUCGACUUUGGGCUUCUGGGCUCUAGAACUGAGAGAGAAUAUAUUUCUCUCAUUUUAAGCCACCCGGUGGUGGUACUUUGUGAAGGCCAGUACGGGAAGCUAACGCAGCCCAAGACUUCAAUUCCAGUUAUACAUGCUGCCAUGGGAAACUCUGGGGAGAAGAGUGUUCUCAAGACAGAAAGGACAGAAGGGAGCCAGCGGCUGGACAGGCCGAAGGUGUGAGGUGAACUCCGAACCUGAACCCAAAAGGACAAUAACAGGAGGGCCCUUCUCUGGUGCAGCAGGUAAAGCCAGUUUACGGAUUGGCGAGGACCGGGGAGAGCAGUCCCAAAAAGAAACCGAUCACAGAGAAAUCACAAGCAGUCGGAGAGGCUGGCAGAGAGAGAGAGAGAGGGAAGCAGGCUCCCCGCCAAGCAGAGAGCCCGACGCGGGACUCGAUCCCAGGACCCCGAGAUCAUGACCCGAGCCGAAGGCAGCGGCCCAACCCACCGAGCCACCCAGGCGCCCGAUCCAUACUCUGCCCUUCUCGGACUUGGAAUCUCCUGCUCCUUCUGCUCCUCGACCCUCCAUUGGGUUCAGUCAGUGGAAAAUGAACACUGGGAAGUCGGCAGCAGCAAUGGGAAGUUACCACCAGGAAGUCAGGAGGUUGGAAGAAAGAGAGCGCUUUUCCCAUAUUGACCUAUUAAAUCCUUGUG